rnacentral:rRNA from 1 species
AUGGCUCAGGAUGAACGCUGGCGGCGUGCUUAACACAUGCAAGUCGAACGGUGAAGGCGGAGCUUGCUCUGCUGGAUCAGUGGCGAACGGGUGAGUAACACGUGAGCAAUCUGCCCCUGACUCUGGGAUAAGCGCUGGAAACGGCGUCUAAUACUGGAUACGAGCUGCGAAGGCAUCUUCAGCAGCUGGAAAGAACUUCGGUCAGGGAUGAGCUCGCGGCCUAUCAGCUUGUUGGUGAGGUAACGGCUCACCAAGGCGUCGACGGGUAGCCGGCCUGAGAGGGUGACCGGCCACACUGGGACUGAGACACGGCCCAGACUCCUACGGGAGGCAGCAGUGGGGAAUAUUGCACAAUGGGCGAAAGCCUGAUGCAGCAACGCCGCGUGAGGGACGACGGCCUUCGGGUUGUAAACCUCUUUUAGCAGGGAAGAAGCGAAAGUGACGGUACCUGCAGAAAAAGCGCCGGCUAACUACGUGCCAGCAGCCGCGGUAAUACGUAGGGCGCAAGCGUUAUCCGGAAUUAUUGGGCGUAAAGAGCUCGUAGGCGGUUUGUCGCGUCUGCUGUGAAACCCCGAGGCUCAACCUCGGGCCUGCAGUGGGUACGGGCAGACUAGAGUGCGGUAGGGGAGAUUGGAAUUCCUGGUGUAGCGGUGGAAUGCGCAGGUAUCAGGAGGAACAC